UAAACCGCAACCGAGACUGAACACUGCGUUUCCCCUGCUGGAGCUGAAACACGGAAGAUGCCAGCACGGAAGAUGUCACACCAGAGCAGAGCCGAGCAGAGCCACGAAGAGCCGAGCGGCACAGCUGUCUAGCCAGAGAAGCAGCUGGGCCCCGGGGCCACCUAACGGCCGUGCUGUUUGCUGUUUGCACUAAAUAGUUUCCUUCUUCACCACACCCCAAACUGGAGAUUCUUGUUGGUGUUGACAUCCAUGGCAGUGAGGAUGGGACUCUGAAGCGACGACCUGAUAUCCUGACGCAUUCAUUCCGAAACCACGGCGUCUGGCACUUGCUCGAGCCCCUUACGCUUGAGUUAUCUUUCAGUGUGCGGCGGGGAGACAAAGACACCAAACAUCACAGCCUACAACCUGGAUGCAUGGUCCAGCAAAAAGACAUCUCCACAAGGACUCCCUCCAGCCUCUCUGGAGUGGACCAUACCAGAGAUGUUUCAUUUAAGUAACACAGAAAUGUACGUAAAUGGUCUACUCAAGGUCACCUGAGAAGUCUUUUGUGUCAUCUGGAAAUGGAUAUUUCCAGUAUAAAAAUACGCUGCAGCCUCAUUGCAGAUCCAAAUUCAUUGCGUCCUUUGGCAAGUUCCACUGGAGGGACCAAUCGUCUUUUCAUCUUUACAGCAAGGCUCCCAGCAACUGGCCUUUCCUCAGCCUCACCAAGUGCUUCCAUACCUGGAAACCCAGACCUCAGCCCUCCUCCUUCCUAUCUUCGAGGACGGAACGUGGCUGUUUUUCUAAGACUUUUUUACGAAUCACUUUGAUUACAUAUGUAGUUGGCCAUAUCUUCUUUUGUUCCCCUAAAUUAUUCUACUAAUCCAGUUAACACCUAUUUAUGAAACACUUAUUUUGUUGCUAGACACAGGGAACACUAUAGUCAUCCUCCCUACAUGGGAAGGGCAGACAGUAAACAUGAAUCAACCACACUGUGGUCAGUGCUAUAAAGAUGACAAAUGUGAUGGGCGGGGUGAGGUGCAUAGGAAUGGAUGGAUCAGUGAAGCCCUCUCUAUGCAGGGCCCUGCGGCUGAUGUAUGGAGCCUAGUGGUAGUUCUGUAUAGGAUGGUGACAGAGACCCUGCUGUGUAUAGGGAGGACUUUUGGGAACUGAAGCAGCAGAUACAGAGAGUGGGCACUUUAUGUAUCAUACUUGUGUCUAUAGAAUGGCAAAACUUUUCAAAAGUAAUGACCCUCAAGCCCAGCAAAAGAAGAACCGUGGAAUAUAUAAUGAAAGACCCAUAGCUCAACAUGGCCCAGGAGGAGGACCUCUGGCCCCACAGUGAGCUGCCCUGGGGUGACAUGGACCCCCAGGUAACAGAGAUAAUGAAGAACCUGGGAUUUGAGUGGAACGAGAUCCAGGAAUCAGUAACAGAAAGGAAGUACAACAAAGUGAUGGGCACAUACCUGAUUCUAAGUACCACGAAAACCAAGCUGAAGGGCCAUACCAUCAGGUUAAGACCCACCUCCUCCCCUUACCCAACGCUACAGUCCUUUCCCAACCUGUGAGGUUCAGCCAUCAGGGCAGAAGACCAAAGAGCCUGCCAUUCCCCCAACCAACCUGGAGUCAAGGAUGACCACUCCCACACCCAGCCGAGUCUGGGACUGCCACCCCCAACCUAGUCCUCCAAUGUGGGCCUGGGGGCUCCCCUUCCACCCACAACAGCAGCAGCGGUGGUUGUGGUGGUGGUGCUCCAGAGGGAACCAACAACAAAAAUUCCUUCCAUGCUGGGCAGCCUGAUGGUGGAACUCCAGCUUCUCCCUCUGGCCAUAGUGAAGGCCAGCAGGGGGUAGCUAGGAGGGUCUUCCGAUUUCUGUUAAGACUCAUGUGCUGUAGGCAUCCAUUAAUAAGCAGCAUCUCAAGAGAGAAAGUCAAGCCAGAGUAAUUUUUAAAAUCGUGGAUAGCCAAGGCAGGGCCACAGCCAGACUCUGGGUCAAGCCACUCUCCCUACAUUUUAAAUGCCGGCCUUGAAAGAACUUAAAGGUGCUGAGCUCAGGGAGGCCAGCCACGUGGUUCAGGAGAUGAGUCAGAGGCUGCACGGAAACAGCUGCAUGUGAGAGCAGUGCCAGAAAUACACGCUGUGUGUGCAAAAGCCUCUGCGUGCAGGAGCUGGUCCAGCAGACGAGGGAGGUGGGCAAACCACUGUGCUACUGUCUGCAAGGGAUUCAUUUCAGGCUGGAGGAUGGCCUGGAGCCCACUGGGGGUCAAAGGGAGAGGCUGCCUUCACUGUGGGCCCACCCCUCUGCCCCCACUUGCAUGACAUUUCACAGAACGGACUUUGUCCUGGGCCCUUCUCCCCUGUGCUGCUCUUUUCUCCCUUUUUUGUGGGGGUUUGGUUUUUCCAAGUCUUGUAAUAAACUUGAUGC